rnacentral:rRNA from 1 species
GCGUACCUGAUCGCAGCCUGACGCAGCGACGCCGCGUGAGGGAUGAAGGCCUUCGGGUCGUAAACCUCUGUCAGGAGGGAAGAAGUGUAUGGGUGCUAAUCAGGACCCAUAUUUGACGGUACCUCCAAAGGAAGCACCGGCUAACUCCGUGCCAGCCGCCGCCGUUAUUA